ACAACCCCUGCACGCAUUCCUUCCUUUUACACGAAACCCCCACAUUCCUUCCUUUUUACACGAAACUACACAAACCCAUUGAGAAUCCGCUAGCGAGACACAUAGCUUCUAGUCUUCCAUUUUCAAUAUUCAUUUGUGCAUUUGUUCAUAAAUCCAUUGAAGGUGAGUUUUGAAAUAUCUAAUUGCAUCGAGUUUACUCUAUUUUCAUUAAUUUCAUUUUGAAGAGAAACGCAAAACCUAGGAAAAAAUCUGCAAGGAAUCGAUCGUACUGUGAAAAGUGAUCGUUCGAUGCGAUCUGAGCUCAUAGAUUGGUCUGAAGCUUCCAUUUCGAGGAUUUCUUUUAAUCAUUCUUUUUCCUGGCUAUCAGGUUAGAUUGUGUUUUGUAAUGCUCGCUUUGUAAUUUUCUUAAUCAUGCAGAUUUGUACGAAGGAUACACAAGUAGGGUUCGUCUAUUCAUAUGGUGGUUGAAUUGUUAUGAAGCUUAGUGCAUAUAUAAAAAUGAAAACUAGAUAAGUUCAUCUGACUAAAUAAAAUAGGUUAGUUCCAACCAGCUAGGACGUUAGGUCAGUGGUUUAAAUCAAUCAAACAAAACCACUUUAUCAAUAUUUUGCUACCUAUUCUCAUUCAUUUCACUACCUAUCAAGUCUUCAAUUUUCUCAUAGGCCUUCCAUUUAUAUAAUUUAUGAGGGUGGGACAAAAUAAUAAAAAAUUAGGUGUGAAAAUAUGGUUUCUUUCUAUUAUCUACUUCAUAGCAGGAAUUCCUGGAGCAUAUGUCUUGUGGUAUCGCCCAUUAUAUCGUGCCUUUAGGUAAUUACUUCCCAGACUUAAUUGGCAUUUGGCUGUUUAAUUUUUGCCUACUAAUAUACAAUUGCAAACAUUCCUUUUAUAUAGUUCCAGUUGUAUGAGAUAAAAAAAUGUUCUUGGGAGACUGGGGCAUUAUGGGGGUUUAAAAGAGCAACCUUGAGGCUUUAAGAAAGUGGUAGAAUACUGACAAAUAUUGCACAUGAAGGGUUCACCAGAACAAUAAGCGUGCGUAUUAUAUCACUUGGCCUAUGGUCUAAUAUGUCUCUUCAUUGGGUUUGGCUAUUCUCCCUCCUCCCGGUUCAAUCCUGCCCAAUCUAACAAAAUAUGUAUGCAUAUUUUGAUCAUUCUAACGUGGUUACUCUCUUGAUUUUGAAUUUGUUCCAUUGUUGUUUUUGCAGGACAGAUAGUGCUUUGAAUUUUGGAUGGUUUUUCUUGUUUUACCUGAGGCAUUCUGUCGGCCAUAAAUGUGGUAGGUGACCAUGCAGUGAUUGGAGUAAGUAUGCCUGUCCUGAAGUAUUUAUUAUUCCUGGAUGCUAUUCAUUGUUUAACUGUCAUUUUUGUCGCAUGCCAAGCCAAUUUUGGAUUUGUCACACUGUUACGGUUCUAAGCAAAACCAACGAACAUGAGAAGCACUUGAACUUCGGAUUAAGUAAAUGGUGGGUACGGGGUUGAGUGAUAGGGAUGGAAACUUUAGAAGUUAGAAGGUUAUGAGAAAAAGUAAAACUAGACAAAAAAUUAUAUACACUAGACCUAUGAAUUCUAACCUGGAGCAACAGAACCACUUCUGAGAAAAUGUCACCCAUUGGAAGAAGUAGUUUGAUCACAUCGGUACUGAUAUUAAAGGGAAUGUUGGCAACCACCUGCAAACAACAUCCUAACUAGAGACUAAAGGGGAUAACAUAACGUGAAUUAUAGAUAUUUAGUAUGAAAACGUGGGAUUUGAGUUGUGGUUGUGAUGAAAUCAACAAAGUAUCAAUAAAAGGUAUAAUAUCACCAAAAAAAAACCACGAAGGAAAAACAUAAUGUCAAACCUCUUUACCUGAUCCCUUCCUCUGAAAAAUUUCUCUCUUUAACUCUCUUUAAGCUCUCCCUCUUUCAAUUAAUUCACCUUCAUGCUUCCUUUAUCUCUCUCUGUGCAAUAGUUAGGUGAAGCCCUUCUUAGAAUGAUUAGAGUGAUGAUUUCAAGAUUCAUCACACUCCUAAUAUUAUAGAUAAAGUUCCUUUACUAUCACAAUUCACUUCAACUAUGACCAACCACAAUGAAACCUUAAUAUACAUUUAAUAAAUCAAUUAUCAGCUGAGGGGGUUCUCAUCUUAUAUGAAAAGAAUCCAAGGUUUCAUAAUUCACCACAAGACAUCACAUAACAUGUGGUGACCUGUCACAGGGACCAACACUAGACUCUGUAUAACAGCUUUUGAAGAAGUGAGAUAGGUUUCAGAAACUAAACCCUGUUGACCCUUGUAACAGAUAAAAAAUUGCACCAGCAUGUUUCACAGCCUUUACUGAAAUUGUGAUAAUUUGAAUGUGUCAUCUCCUCUUCUUCUGGGACCAUGUUGGUCCAUAAAUUUCCAAGAGCGUCCGUCCAAACCGUCUGUCGGUUACCUGUAGUUUCAAACCACCACUAGACAGCUCAAUUUGGUGGGCAUAUCAUUAAAAUCCACAUGUAUAACAUAAAUUCAUAAAUAUAGGUCCUGCACCCCCAUCAGGCUAUAAGAAUUUCAAGAAAAUAUAAUGGUUGGAAAUUAGUGCAUACAUGGUGCAACAUAUUAUUUGUUAUGCAGACA